UAGUCCACGCCGUAAACGAUCAUCACUCGCUGUUGGCGAUAUACUGUCAGCGGCCAAGCGAAAGUAUUAAGUGAUGCACCUGGGGAGUACGCCGGCAACGGUGAAACUCAAAGGAAUUGACGGGGGCCCGCACAAGCGGUGGAGCAUGUGGUUUAAUUCGAUGAUACGCGAGGAACCUUACCAGGGCUUAAAUGUAGUAUGACCGGUCUGGAAACAGACCUUCUCUUCGGAGCAGAUUACAAGGUGCUGCAUGGUUGUCGUCAGCUCGUGCCGUGAGGUGUUAGGUUAAGUCCUGCAACGAGCGCAACCCUUAUCGACUAGUUGCCUUUUAGGGAAACUAGCGAGACUGCCGGUGAUAAGCCGGAGGACGGUGAGGAUGACGUCAAAUCAGCAUGCCUCUUACAUCUUGGGCUACACACGUGCUACAAUGGCUGGGACAAAGGGAUGCAACUUCGCGAGAAGAAGCCAACCUCAAAAACCCAGUCUUAGUUCGGAUUGCG
rnacentral:rRNA from 1 species